rnacentral:rRNA from 1 species
UACAGAGGUGACAAACGUUGUCCGGAAUUAUUGGGCGUAAAGGGCGCGUAGGCGGUUGGGUAAGUCCGGUGUGAAAUCUCUGAGCUCAACUCAGGAACUGCAUUGGAUACUGCCCAGCUUGAGUACGGUAGAGGAGGGUGGAAUUCCCAGUGUAGCGGUGAAAUGCGUAGAUAUUGGGAGGAACACCGGUGGCGAAGGCGGCCCUCUGGACCGAGACUGACGCUGAAGCGCGAAAGCUAGGGGAGCAAACGGG